ACCUGUUUUUCUUGUAACUUCUACAGGUACCAUAAGAACAUGUCAGAAAUUUCUGAUUCAGUAUAACAGAAGACAGCUGCUGAUGUUGUUGCAAAACUGUACAAAUGAAGAGGAAAGACAGUGUAUACGGAAGUCGUUGUUGAGCUGUUCCCUUACAGAAGAGCAGUCUCAGAGUGGAGAUGAGGAGGAUGAUGAUGGCACAGAGACAGACUGAACAUCACUUGUUACUGUUCACCUCCAUCCUGAACUUGUGUAAUCAAGAUGUGACCAGUUAUCUUCAGUGUUAAGCAAAGCAGGGCACAGGAAGAGCACCUGUUCAUAUUUAUACUUCAUUCCCUGUUCCAAGUGUUCUUCAAUAAUUUUUUAAAAAAUAAAAUACAGUUUCCCUUAA